rnacentral:lncRNA from 1 species
CUGAAAUAUGCAAAGGCUAUGGCGCGGAAGGGUUGUAGGACACAAAAAUGAUAUGGCACUGGACUUAUGGGACAAACACAAGAACACUCGAAACUAAGGUUAGAUGUGAACCUAACGGUAUACCUGAACCUUUGAUUACCACUUGAUGAGAACAAGGGUGGCCCGAUCUUCCGAAAGGUUCUGUUAACUCUCGAUUUGGUGGAGACGAGACACAAAUCGAUCCGGCUUCCGAACAACACGAUCCGAAACCCUGCAAUUUUUUUUAUUUUUUUGAUAUUUUUCUUUUACUUAGGUGCACUAAAGAAGUAACCACAGAAAAUUUGAGCUUAAAUAAGUGAAAGACGUGGCCUGCGAAAUUUUCUAAAUUUUGUGAAAAAAGUUUAAAAAACUUCACGAGGUGAAAACUUAAACUUCGGAGGCGUAUUUGGAAAUUCUAAAAUUUUCAAACCCGCUAGUGGUAGGGACAGGCAGACCCAAAAUUUUUUUCUGAUUGAUUUUGAUAUAUGGAACAUUGAAAUCGGAGUUCGUACGCGAAUGUUAUGGCUAUUUUACGAACGGACUCUGAAUUAGAGAACAAAACGGUCCGAAAGUGGGAAAAAUUUGUGGCGAUGGCUAGAAAUUGAUGGAAACGGUGGGGAAAAACAUACUAACUGGACUCUAACAAGACCUAACCAGCAACAACCUCGACCAGGACACAAACUCAAAACUGCGGACUCUGAAUCUGAAAUAUGCAAAAGCUAUGGCGCGGAAGGGUUGUAGAACAGGAAAACAAUAUGGCACUGGACUUAUGGGACGAACACAAGAACACUCGAAACUAAGGGUAGAUGUGAACCUAACGGUAUACCUAAAGCUUUGAUUACCACUUGAUGAGAACAAGGGUGGCCCGAUCUUCCGAAAAGUUUUGGUAACUCUCGAUUUGGUGGAGACGAGACACAAAUCGAUACAGCUUCUGAAUAACACGAUCCGAAACCCUGCAUUUUUUUAUUUUUUUGAUAUUUUUAUUUUACUUAGGAGUGCUAAAGGAGUAACCACAGAAAAUUUGAGCUUAAGCAAGUGACAGACAUGGCCUGUGGAAUUUUCUGAAGAUUGUGAAAAAUGUGAAAAAACUUCACGUAUUGGAAACUCAAACUUCGGAGGCGAAUUUCAGGAUUCUAAAAUUGUCAAACCUGCGAAAGUUAGGGACAAACAGAUUUGAAAUUUUUUCUGAUUUAUUUUGAUAUAUGAAACGUUGAAAUCGGAGUUCGUAUGCGAAGGUUAUGGCUGUUUUACGAACAUACUUCGAAUUAGAGGACAAAACGGUUCGAAAAUGGGAAAAUUUUGCGGCGGUGGCAAGAAAUUGAUGGAAACGGUGGGGAAAAGAUAUGAACUGGACUCUAACAAGACCUAACCAGCAACAAAACCUCGACCAGGACACAAACUCAACACUGCAGACUCUGAAACUGAAAUAUGCAAAGGCUAUGGCGCGGAAGGGUUGUAGGACAGGAAAACGAUAUGGCACUGGACUUAUGGGACGAACACAAGAACACUCAAUACUAAGGUUAGAUGUGAACCUAACAGUAUACCUGAAGCUUUGAUUACAACUUGAUGAGAACAAGGGUGGCCCGAUCUUCUGAAAGGUUCUCAUAACUCUCGAUUUGGUGAAGACGAGACACAAAUCGAUCUGGCUUCCAAACAACACAAUCCGAAACCCCGCAUUUUUUUAUUUUUUUAAUAUUUUCCUUUUACUUAGGAGCACUAAAGAAGUAACCACAUAAAAUUUGAGCUUAAUCAAGUAAAAGACGUGGCCUGCGGAAUUUUGUGAAGAUUACAAAAAAUGUGAAAAAAACUUCACAAGGUGAAAACUCAAACUUCGAAGACGAAUUUGGAGAUUCUAAAAUUUUCAAACCCCCCAAAACCGAGGACAGACAGACACUAAAUUUUUUUCUGCUCGAUUUUGAUAUAUGGAACAUUGAAAUCGGAGUUUGUAUGUGAAAGUUAUGGCUGUUUUACGAACGGACUCCGAAUUAGAGGACAAAACGGUCCGAAAGUGGGAAAAAGGUUCGGCGAUGGCUAGAAAUUUAUGGAAACGGUGGGAAAAAAAAUACAAACUGGACUCUAACAAGACCUAACCAGCAACAAGACCUCGACCAGGACACAAACUCAAAAUUGCGGACUCAGAAACUGAAAUAUGCAAAGGCUAUGGCGCGAGAGGGUUGUAGGACACAAAAAUGAUAUGGCACUGGACUUAUGGGACAAACAUAAGAACACUCGAAACUAAGGGUAGAUGUGAACCUAACGGUAUACCUGAAGCUUUGAUUACCACUUCAUGAGAACAAGGGUGGCCCGAUCUUCCCAAAGGUUCUGUUAACUCUCGAUUUGGUGGAGACGAGACACAAAUCGAUCCGGCUUCCGAACAACACGAUCCGAAACCCUGCAAUUUUUUUUUAUUUUUUUGAUAUUUUUCUUUUACUUAGGUGCAUUAAAGAAGUAACCACAGAAAAUAUGAGCUUAAACAAGUGAAAGACGUGGCCUGCGGAAUUUUCUAAAUUUUGUGAAAAUGUGAAAAAAACUUCACGAGGUGAAAACUUAAACUUCGGAGGCGUAUUUGGAAAUUCUAAAAUUUUCAAACCCGCUAGUGGUAGGGACAGGUAGAGCCGAAAUUUUUUUCUGAUUGAUUUUGAUAUAUGGAACGUUGAAAUCGGAGUUUGUACGCGAAUGUUAUGGCUAUUUUACGAACGGACUCCGAAUUAGAGAACAAAACGGUCCGAAAGUGGGAAAAAUUUGCGGCGAUGGCUAGAAAUUGAUGAAAACGGUGGGGAAAAACAUACUAACUGAACUCUAACAAGACCUAACCAGCAACAACCUCGAUCAGGACACAAACUCAAAACUGCGGACUCUCAAUCUAAAAUAUGUAAAAGCUAUGGCGCGGAAGGGUUGUAGAACAGGAAAACAAUAUGGCACUGGACUUAUGGGACGAACACAAGAACACUAGAAACUAAGAGUAGAUGUGAACCUAGCGGUAUACCUAAAGCUUUGAUUACCACUUGAUGAGAACAAGGGUGGCCCGAUCUUACGAAAAGUUAUGUUAACUCUCGAUUUGGUGGAGACGAGACACAAAUCGAUACAGCUUCUGAACAACACGAUCCGAAACCCUAUAUUUUUUUUAUUUUUUUGAUAUUUUUAUUUUACUUAGGAGUGCUAAAGGAGUAACCACAGAAAAUUUGAGCUUAAGCAAGUGAAAGACAUGGCCUGUGGAAUUUUCUGAAGAUUGUGAAAAAUGUGAAAAAACUUCACGUAUUGGAAACUCAAACUUCGAAGGCGAAUUUUAGGAUUCUAAAAGUGUCAAACCCGCGAAACUUAGGGACAACCAGAUCUGAAAUUUUUUUCUGAUCGAUUUUGAUAUAUGAAACAUUGAAAUCGGAGUUCGUAUGCGAAAGUUAUGGCUGUUUUACGAACAGACUUCGAAUUAGAGGACAAAACGGUCCGAAAGUGGAAAAAUUUUGCGCCGGUGGCCAGAAAUUGAUGGAAACGGUGCGGAAAACACAUGAACUGGACUCUAACAAGACCUAACCAGCAACAAGACCUCGACUAGGACACAAACUCAACACUGCGGACUCUGAAACUGAAAUAUGCAAAGGCAAUGGCGCGGAAGGGUUGUAGGAAAGGAAAACUAUAUAGCACUGGACUUAUGGAACGAACACAAGAACACUCAAAACUAAGGCUAGAUGUGAACCUAAUGGUAUAUAUGAAGCUUUGAUUACCAUUUGAUGAGAACAAGGGUGGCACGAUCUUCUGAAAGGUUCUAGUAACUCUCGAUUUGGUGAAGACGAGACACAAAUCGAUAUGGCUUCCGAACAACACGAUCCGAAACCCCGCAUUUUUUUUAUUUUUUUAAUAUUUUCCUUUUACUUAGGAGCACUAAAGAAGUAACCACAGAAAAUUUGAACUUAAUCGAGUAAAAGACGUGGGCUGCGGAAUUUUGUGAAGAUUACACAAAAUGUGAAAAAAACUUCACAAGGUGAAAACUCAAACUUCGAAGACGAAUUUGGAGAUUCUAAAAUUUUCAAACCCCCUAAAACCGAGGACAGACAGACACUAUAUUUUUUCUGAUCGAUUUUGAUAUAUGGAACAUUGAAAUCGAAGUUUGUAUGUGAAAGUUAUGGCUGUUUUACGAACGGACUCCGAAUUAGAGGACAAAACGGUCCGAAAGUGGGAAAAUUUUGCGGCGGUGGCAAGAAAUUGAUGGAAACGGUGGGGAAAACACAUGAACUGGACUCUAACAAGACCUAACCAGCAACAAGACCUCGACCAGAACACAAACUCAACACUGCGGACUCUGAAACUGAAAUAUGCAAAGGUUAUGGCGCGGAAGGGUUGUAGGACAGGAAAACGAUAUGGCACUGGACUUAUGGGACGAACACAAGAACACUCAAAACUAAGGGUAGAUGUGAACCUAACGGUAUACCUGAAGCUUUGAUUACCACUUGAUAAGAACAAGGAUGGUCCGAUCUUCUGAAAGGUUCUGGUAACUCUUGAUUUGGUGGAGACGAGACAUAAAUUGAUCCGGCUUCCGAACAACACGAUCCGAAACCCUGCAAAUUUUUUAUUUUUUUGAUAUUUUUCUAUUACUUAGGUGCACUAAAGAAGUAACCAUAGAAAAUUUGAGCUUAAACAAGUGAAAGACGUGGCCUGCAGAAUUUUGUGAAGAUUACAAAAAAUGUGAAAAAAACUUCACAAGGUGAAAACUCAAAAUUCGAAGACGAAUUUGGAGAUUCUAAAAUUUUCAAACCCCCUAAAACCGAGGACAGACAGACACUAUAUUUUUUCUCAUCGAUUUUGAUAUAUGGAACAUUGAAAUCGAAGUUUGUAUGUGAAAGUUAUGGCUGUUUUACGAACGGACUCCGAAUUAGAGGACAAAACGGUCCGGAAGUGGGAAUAAUUUGUGGUGGUGGCUAGAAAUUGAUGGAAAUGGUGGGCAAAAACAUACCAACUAGACUCUAACAAGACCUAACCAGCAACAUCCUCGACCAGGACACAAACUUAAAAUUGCGGACUCUGAAACUGAAAUAUGCAAAGGCUAUUGCGCGGAAGGGUUGUAGGACAAGAAAACGAUAUGGCACUGGACUUAUGGGACGAAUACAAGAACACUCGAAACUAAGGGUAGAUGUGAACCUAACGGUAUACCUGAAGCUUUAUUACCACUUGAUGAAAUCAAGGGUGGCCCGAUCUUUCGACAGGUUCUGGUAACUCUCGAUUUGGUGGAGACGAGACAUAAAUCAAUGCGGCUUCCAAACAACGCGAUCUGAAACCCUGCAAUUUUUUUAUUUUAUUGAUAUUUUUAUUUUACUUAGGAGCAUUAAAGAAGUAACCAUAGAAAAUUUGAGCUUAAACAAGUAAAUGACGUGGCCUGCUGAAUUUUCUGAAGAUUGCGAAAAAUGUGAAAAAAACUUCACAAGGUGAAAACUCAAACUUCGGAGGUGAAUUUGGAGAAUCUAAAACUUUCAAAGCCGCAAAUAGCAGUGACAGACAGAUCCGAAUUUUUUUGAUCGAUUUUGAUAUAUCGAACAUUGAAAUCGGAGUUUGUAUGUGCAAGUUAUGGCUGUUUUACGAACGGACUCCGAAUUAGAGGACAAAACGGUCCGAAAGUGGGAAAAACUUGCAGCGAUGGCUAGAAACUGAUGGAAACGUUGGGGAAAAAACACGAACUGAACUCUAACAAGACCUAACCAGCAACAAGACCUCGACCAGGACACAAACUCAAAACUGCAGACUCGGAAACUGAAAUAUGCAAAGGCUAUGGCGCGGAAGGGUUGUAGGACACAAAAACGAUAUGGCACUGGACUUAUGGGACGAACACAAGAACACUCGAAACUAAGGGUAGAUGUGAACCUAAAUAUAUACCUGAAGCUUUGAUUACUACUUGAUGAGAACAAGGGUGGCCCGAUCUUCCGAAAGGUUCUGUUAACUCUCGAUUUAGUGGAGACGAGACACAAAUCGAUCCGGCUUCCGAACAACACGAAGGCAAACCCUGCAAUUUUUUUAUUUUUUUAUGUUUUUCUUUUACUUAGGUGCACUAAAGAAGUAACCACAGAAAAUUUGAGCUUAAACAAGUGAAAGACGUGGCUUGCAGAAUUUUCUAUAGAUUGUGAAAAAUGUGAAAAAAACUUCACGAGGUGAAAACUUAAACUUCGGAGGUGUAUUUGGAAGUUCUAAAUUUUUCAAACCCGCUUGUGGUAGGGACAGGCAAACCCGAAAUUUUUUCUGAUUGAUUUUGAUAUAUGGAACGUUGAAAUCGGAGUUCGUACGCGAAUGUUAUGGCUAUUUUACAAACGAACUGCGAAUUAGAGUACAAAACGGUCCGAAAGUGGGAAAAAUUUGCGGCGGUGCCCAGAAAUUGAUGGAAACGGUGGGGAAAAACAUACUAACUGGACUCUAACAAGACCUAACCAGCAACAACCUCGACCAGGACACAAACUCAAAACAACGGACUCUGAAUCUGAAAUAUGGAAAAGCUAUGGCGCGGAAGGGUUGUAGAACAGGAAAACAAUAUGGCACUGGACUCAUGGGACGAACAUAAGAACACAAGAAACUAAGGGUAGAUGUGAACCUAACGGUACACCUAAAGCUUUGAUUACCACUUGAUGAGAACAAGGGUGGCCCGAUCUUCCGAAAGGUUUUGGUAACUCUCGAUUUGGUGGAGAUGAGACACAAAUCGAUACGGCUUAUGAACAACACGAUCCGAAACCCUACAUUUUUUUUAUUUUUUUGAUAUUUUUAUUUUACUUAGGAGCACUAAAGGAGUAACCACAGAAAAUUUGAGCUUAAACAAGUGAAAGACAUGGCCUGUUGAAUUUCUCAAGAUUGUGAAAAAUGUGAAAAGAACUUCACGUAUUGGAAACUCAAACUUCGGAGGCGAAUUUCAAGAUUCUAAAAUUGUCAAACACGCAAAAGUGAGGGACAAACAUAUCUCAAAUUUUUUCUUAUCGAUUUUGAUAUAUGGAACGUUGAAAUCGGAGUUCGUAUGCGAAAGUUAUGGCUGUUUUACGAACAGACUCCGAAUUAGAGGACAAAACGAUCCGAAAGUGGGAAUAAUUCGCGGUGGUGGCUAGAAAUUGAUGGAAAUGGUGGGGAAAAACAUACGAACUAGACUCUAACAAGACCUAACCAGCAACAUCCUCGACCAAGACACAAACUCAAAAUUGCGGACUCUGAAACUGAAAUAUGCAAAGGCUAUUGCGCGGAAGGGUUGUAGAACAAGAAAACGAUAUGGCACUGGACUUAUGGGACGAAUACAAGAACACUCGAAACUAAGUGUAGAUGUGAACCUAACGGUAUACCUGAAGCUUUAUUACCACUUGAUGAGAUCAAGGGUGGCCCGAUCUUUCGACAGGUUCUGGUAACUCUCGAUUUGGUGGAGACGAGACACAAAUCAAUGCGGCUUCCAAACAACGCGAUCUGAAACCCUGCAAUUUUUUUAUUUUAUUGAUAUUUUUAUUUUACUUAGGAGCAUUAAAGAAGUAACCAUAAAAAAUUUGAGCUUAAACAAGUAAAAGACGUUUCCUGCAGAAUUUUCUGAAGAUCGCAAAAAAUGUGAAAAAAACAUCACAAGGUGAAAACUGAAACUUCGGAGGUGAAUUUGGAGAUUCUAAAACUUUCAAACCCGUAAAUAGCAGUAACAGACAGAUCCGAAUUUUUUUGAUCGAUUUUGAUAUAUGGAACAUUAAAAUCGGAGUUUGUAUGUGCAAGUUAUAGCUGUUUUACGAACGGACUCUGAAUCAGAGGACAAAACGGUCCGAAAGUGGGAAAAAGUUGCAGCGAUGGCUAGAAAUUGAUGGAAACGUUCGGAAAAAAACACGAACUAGACUCUAACAAGACCUAACCAGCAACAAGUCCUCGACCAGGACACAAACUCAAAACUGCAGACUCGGAAACUGAUAUAAAAAGGCUAUGGCGCGGAAGGGUUGUAGGACACAAAAACGAUAUGGCACUGGACUUAUGGGACGAACACAAGAACACUCGAAACUAAGGGUAGAUGUGAACCUAACGGUAUACCUGAAGCUUCGAUUACCACUUGAUGAGAACAAGGGUGGCCGGAUCUUCUGAAAGGUUCUGUUAACUCUCGAUUUGGUGGAGACGAGACACAAAUCGAUCCGGCUUCCGAACAACACGAAGGCAAACCCUGCAAUUUUUUUUAUUUUUUUGAUAUUUUUCUUUUACUUAGGUGCACUAAAGAAGUAACCACAGAAAAUUUGAGCUUAAUCAAGUGAAAGACGUGGCCUGCAGAAUUUUGUAAAGAUUGUGAAAAAUGUGAAAAAAAACUUCACAAGGUGAUAACUUAAACUUCGGAGGUGUAUUUGGAAAUUUUAAAAUUUUCAAUCCCGCUAGUGGUAGGGACAGGCAAACCCGAAAUUUUUUCUGAUUGAUUUUGAUAUAUGGAACAUUGAAAUCGGAGUUCGUACGCGAAUGUUAUGGCUAUUUUACGAACAGACUCCGAAUUAGAGAACAAAACGGUCCGAAAGUGGGAAAAAUUUGCGGCGGUGGCUAGAAAUUGAUGGAAACCUGCGGACUUUGAAUGUGAAAUAUGCAAAAGCUAUGGCGCGGAAGGGUUGUAGAAUAGGAAAAUAAUAUGGCACUGGACUUAUGGGACGAACACAAGAACACUCGAAACUAAGGGUAGAUGUGAACCUAACGGUAUACCUAAAGCUUUGAUUACCACUUGAUGAGAACAAGGAUGGCCCGAUCUUCCGAAAGGUUCUGGUAACUCUCGAUUUGGUGGAGACGAGACACAAAUCGAUACGGCUUCUGAACAACACAAUCUGAAACCCUUCAUUUUUUUAUUUUUUUGAUAUUUUUAUUUUACUUAGGAGCACUAAAGGAGUAACCACAUAAAAUUUGAGCUUAAACAAGUGAAAGACAUGGCCUGUGGAAUUUCUGAAGAUUGUGAAAAAUGUGAAAAGAACUUCACGUAUUGGAAACUCAAACUUCGGAGGCGAAUUUCAGGAUUCUAAAGUGGUCAAACCCGCGAAAGUUAGGGACAAACAGACCUGAAAUUUUUUUCUGAUCGAUUUUGAUAUAUGGAACGUUGAAAUCGGAGUUCGUAUGCAAAAGUUAUGGCUGUUUUACGAACAGACUCCGAAUUAGAGGACAAAACGGUCCGAAAGUGGGAAAAAUUUGCGGCGGUGGCUAGAAAUUGAUGGAAACGGUGGGGAAAACACAUGAACUGGACUCUAACAAGACCUAACCAGCAACAAGACCUCGACCAGGACACAAACUCAACACUGCGGACUCUGAAACUGAAAUAUGCAAAGGCUAUGGCGUGGAAGGGUUGUAGGAUGGAAAAACGAUAUGGCACUGGACUUAUGGGACGAACACAACACUCAAAACUAAGGGUAGAUGUGAACCUAAUGGUAUACCUGAAGCUUUGAUUACCACUUGAUGAGAACAAGGGUGGCCCGAUCUUCUGAAUGGUUCUGGUAACUCUCGAUUUGGUGAAGACGAGACACAAAUCGAUCUGGCUUCCGAACAACACGAUCCGAAAUCCCGCAUUUUUUUAUUUUUUUAAUAUUUUCCUUUUACUUAGGAGCACUAAAGAAGUAACCAUAGAAAAAUUGAGCUUAAACAAGUAAAAGACGUGGCCUGCGGAAUUUUGUGAAGAUUACAAAAAAUGUGAAAAAAACUUCACAAGGUGAAAACUCAAACUUCGAAGACGAAUUUGGAGAUUCUAAAAUUUUCAAACCCCCUAAAACCGAGGACACACAGACAGACACUAAAUUUUUUUCUGAUCGAUUUUGAUAUAUGGAACAUUGAAAUCGGAGUUUGUAUGUGAAAGUUAUGGCUGUUUUACGAACGGGCUCCGAAUUAGAGGACAAAAUGGUGCGAAAGUGGGAAAAAGUUGCGGCGAUGGCUAGAACUUGAUGGAAACGGUGGGGAAAAAAACACGAACUGGACUCUAACAAGACCUAACCAGCAACAAGAGCUCGACCAGGACACAAACUCAAAACUGCGGACUCAGAAACUGAAAUAUGCGGCUGUGGCGCGGAAGGGUUGUAGGACACAAAAACGAUAUGGCACUGGACUUAUGGUACGAACACAGGAACACUCGAAACUAAGGGUAGAUUUGAACCUAUCGGUAUACCCGAAGCUUUGAUUACCACUUGAUGAGAACAAUGGUGGCCCGAUCUUCCGAAAGGUUUUGUUAACUCUCGAUUUGGUGGAGACGAGAGACAAAUCGAUCCGGCUUCCGAACAAUACGAUCCGAAACCCUUCAAUUUUUUUUAUUUUUCUGAUAUUUUUCUUUUACUUAGGUGCGCUAAAGAAGUAACCACAGAAAAUUUGAGCUUAAACAAGUGAAAGACGUGGCCUGUGGAAUUCUCUAAAGAUUGUGAAAAAUGUGAAAAAAAAUUCACGAGGUGAAAACUUAAAAUUCGGAGGUGAAUUUCAAAAUUCUAAAGUUUUCAAGCCCGCUAGUGGCAGGGACAGGCAGAUCCGAAAUUUUUUUCUGAUUGAUUUUGAUAUAUGGAACGUUGAAAUCGGAGUUCGUACGCGAAUAUUAUGACUAUUUUAUGAACAAACUCCGAAUGAGAGAACAAAACGGUCCGAAAGUGGAAAAAAAUUACGGUGGUGGCUAGAAAUUGAUGAAAACGGUGGGGAAAAACAUACUAAUUGGACUCUAACAAGACCUAACCAGCAACAACCUCGAUCAGGACACAAACUCAAAACUGCGGACUCUGAAUCUGAACUAUGCAAAAGCUAUGGCGCGGAAGGGUUGUAGAACAGAAAAACGAUAUGGCACUGGACUUAUGGGACGAACACAACAACACUCGAAACUAAGGUUAGAUGUGAAUCGGUAUACCUAAAGCUUUGAUUACCACUUGAUGAGAACAAGGGUGGCCCGAUCUUUCGAAAGGUUCUGGUAACUCUCGAUUUGGUGGAGACGAGACACAAAUCGAUACGGCUUCUGAACAACACGAUCCGAAACCCUGAAUUUUUUUAUUUUUUUGAUAUUUUUAUUUUACUUAGGAGCACUAAAGGAGUAACCACAGAAAAUUUGAGCUUAAAUAAUUGAAAGACAUGGCCUGUGGAAUUUUGUGAAGAUUACAAAAAAUGUGAAAAAAACUUCACGUAUUGGAAACUCAAACUUCGUAGGCGAAUUUCAGGAUUAUAAAUUGUCAAACCCGCGAAAGUUAGGGACAAACAGAUCUAAAAUUUUUUUCUGAUCGAUUUUGAUAGAUGGAACGUUGAAAUCGGAGUUCGUAUGCAAAAGUUAUGACUGUUUUACGAACAGACUCCGAAUUAGAGGACAAAACGGUGCGACACUGGAAAAAAUUUGCGACGGUGGCUAGAAAUUGAUGGAAACGGUGGUUAAAACAUAUGAACUGGACUCUAACAAGACCUAACCAGCAACAAGACCUUGACCAGGACACAAACUCAACACUGCGGACUCUGAAAGUGAAAUAUGCAAAGGCUAUGGCGCGGAAGGGUUGUAGGAUAGGAAAACGAUAUGGCACUGGACUUAUGGGACGAACACAAGAACACUCAAAACUAAGGGUAGAUGUGAACCUAACGGUAUACCUGAAGCUUUGAUUACCACUUGAUGAGAACAAGGGUGGCACGAUCUUCUGAAAGGUUCUGGUAACUCUCGAUUUGGUGAAGACGAGACAAAUCGAUCUGGCUUCCGAACAACACGAUGCGAAACCCCGCAUUUUUUUUAUUUUUUCAAUAUUUUCCUUUUACUUAGGUGCACUAAAGAAGUAACCAUAGAAAAUUUGAGCUUAAACAAGUAAAAGACGUGGCCUGCGGAAUUUUGUGAAGAUUACAAAAAAUGUGAAAAAAACUUCACAAAGUGAAAACUCAAACUUCGAAGACGAAUUUGGAGAUUCUAAAAUUUUCAAACCCCCUAAAACCGAGGACACACAGACAGACACUAAAUUUUUUUCUGAUCGAUUUUGACAUAUGGAACAUUGAAAUCGGAGUUUGUAUGUGAAAGUUAUGGCUGUUUUACGAACGGACUCCGAAUUAGAGGACAAAAUGGUGCGAAAGUGGGAAAAAGUUGCGGCGAUGGCUAGAACUUUAUGGAAACGGUGGGGAAAAAAACACGAACCAGACUCUAACAAGACCUAACCAGCAACAAGAGCUCGACCAGGACACAAACUGUGGGGGUAUAAACCCCUAUACCCUUACGGCUAGACUUCAGCCAGGAAGCUUGGCCCAUUACGAGACGAGUUCAAGGCUUGAUUCGACAGCUUGGAGUUUUGCGCAAGGAAACAAGAUGUGGAGAUCAAGCAGGAUUCUAGUCGGUUAGAAUAGGAAUUGAUAUCGAAUUAUCCAUGGCAAUUGUAACCGACUAGGAUUAGUUUCUAGAUCUGUAACCCUGCCCUCCAGACUAUAUAAGGAGGGGCAAGGGACCCCCUAGGACAGAUUAUAUCUCAACACAAUCCAAUACAACCAGACGCAGGACGUAGGUAUUACGCCAACUCGGCGGCCGAACCUGGAUAAAAAGCUUGUCCGUGUCUUGCGUCACCAUCGAGUUCGUAGUUUGCGCACCGUCUACCGAUAAACUACUACCGUGGGUAUACCCCAAGGUAGACUGCCGACCAGCUUUCGUCGACACAAACUCAAAACUGCGGACUCGGAAACUGAAAUAUGCAAAGGCUAUGGCACGGAAGGGUUGUAGGACACAAAAACGAUAUGGCACUGGACUUAUGGUACAAACACAGGAACACUCGAAACUAAGGGUAGAUUUGAACCUAACAGUAUACCCGAAGCUUUGAUUACCACUUGAUGAGAACAAGGGUGGCCUGAUCUUCCGAAAGGUUUUGUUAACUCUCGAUUUGGUGGAGACGAGACACAAAUCGAUCCGGCUUCCGAACAAUACGAUCCGAAACCCUGCAAUUUUCUUUAUUUUUCUGAUAUUUUUCUUUUACUUAGGUGCACUAAAGAAGUAACCACAGAAAAUUUGAGCUUAAACAAGUGAAAGACGUGGCCUGUGGAAUUCUCUAAAGAUUCUGAAAAAUGUGAAAAAAAAUUCACGAGGUGAAAACUUAAAAUUCGGAGGUGAAUUUGGAAAUUCUCAAAUUUUCAAGCCCGCUAGUGGCAGGGACAGGCAGAUCCGAAAUUUUUUUCUGAUUGAUUUUGAUAUAUGGAACAUUGAAAUCGGAGUUCGUACGCGAAUGUUAUGACUAUUUUAUGAACAGACUCCGAAUUAGAGAACAAAACGGUCCGAAAAUGGAAAAAAAUUGCGGUGGUGGCUAGAAAUUGAUGAAAACGGUGGGGAAAAACAUACUAACUGGACUCUAAGAAGACCUAACCAGCAACAACCUCGACUAGGACACAAACUCAAAACUGCGGACUCUGAAUCUGAAAUAUGCAAAAGCUAUGGCGCGGAAGGGUUGUAGAACAGAAAAACGAUAUGGCACUGGACUUAUGGGACGAACACAAGAACACUCGAAACUAAGGUUAGAUGUGAACCUAACGGUAUACCUAAAGCUUUGAUUACCACUUGAUGAGAACAAGGGUGGCCCGAUCUUGCGAAAGGUUCUGAUAACUCUCGAUUUGGUGGAGACGAGACACAAAUCGAUACGGCUUCUGAACAACACGAUCCGAAACCCUAUAUUUUUUUAUUUUUUUGAUAUUUUCAUUUUACUUAGGAUCACUAAAGGAGUAACCACAGAAAAUUUGAGCUUAAAUAAGUGAAAGACAUGGCCUGUGGAAUUUUGUGA